rnacentral:rRNA from 1 species
AAAGAAGUAACACGUAUGAGAGUAACUGUUCAUACGUUGACGGUAUUUAACCAGAAAGUCACGGCUAACUACGUGCCAGCAGCCGCGGUAAUACGUAGGUGGCAAGCGUUAUCCGGAUUUAUUGGGCGUAAAGAGAGUGCAGACGGUUUUCUAAGUCUGAUGUGAAAGACCUUCGGCUUAACCGGAGAAGUGCAUCGGAAACUGGAUAACUUGAGUGCAGAAGAGGGUAGUGGAACUCCCAUGUGUAGCGGUGGAAUGCGUAGAUAUAUGGAAGAACACCAGUGGCGAAGGCGGCUACCUGGUCUGCAACUGACGCUGAGACUCGAAAGCAUGGGUAGCGAACAGGAUUAGAUACCCUGGUAG